rnacentral:tRNA from 1 species
GGUUCCUUAGCUCAGUUGGUGAGAGCCGCCGGCUCAUAACCGGAAGGUCGCGGGUUCGAGUCCCCCAGGAACCACCA